UACGUAGGGGGCAAGCGUUGUCCGGAUUUAUUGGGCGUAAAGAGCGUGUAGGCGGCCGUACAGGUCAGCUGUGAAAACUCGAGGCUCAACCUCGAGACGUCGGUUGAAACCGUACGGCUAGAGUCCGGAAGAGGAGAGUGGAAUUCCCGGUGUAGCGGUGAAAUGCGCAGAUAUCGGGAAGAACACCCGUGGCGAAGGCGG
rnacentral:rRNA from 1 species